AUGAAAAUCUUGAGUUGGAACUGUCGAGGGUCGGGUCAACCUCGUACAGUUCAAGAGCUCGUGUGUCUUUCUAAGAUGCACCGACCAAAUGUUAUCUUCCUUUCAGACACAAGGAAAAAUAGAGAAUAUGUUGAAUGUUUGCGUUAUCGUCUGGGUAUGAAAAAUGUGUUUAAUGUAGCAGGUCAUGGUAAAGCUGGUGGUCUCGCGGUGUUCUGGGAUGAGCUUUAUAAUCUGGAGUUGAACAAGUACGGGGAGCAUUUUAUUGACAUGUACAUCUGUUCUGGCAAUGGUGUAAAAUGGAGGAGUACAGUUGUGCUAAUCAAAGGUAUGUUAUGUGGGAACUUUUGA
rnacentral:rRNA from 1 species